rnacentral:rRNA from 1 species
UACGGAGGAGGCAAGCGUUAUCCGGAAUUAUUGGGCGUAAAGCGUCCGCAGGUGGCAGUUCAAGUCUGCUGUCAAAGACCGGGGCUUAACUUCGGAAAGGCAGUGGAAACUGAACAGCUAGAGUAUGGUAGGGGCAGAGGGAAUUCCUGGUGUAGCGGUGAAAUGCGUAGAGAUCAGGAAGAACAUCGGUGGCGAAGGCGCUCUGCUGGACCAUAACUGACACUCAGGGACGAAAGCUAGGGGAGCGAAUGGG